UACGUAGGGUGCAAGCGUUGUCCGGAAUUAUUGGGCGUAAAGAGCUCGUAGGCGGUUGGUCACGUCUGGUGUGAAAUCCCGAGGCUCAACUUCGGGCUUGCAUCGGGUACGGGUCGACUAGAGUGCUGUAGGGGAGACUGGAAUUCCUGGUGUAGCGGUGGAAUGCGCAGAUAUCAGGAGGAACACCGAUGGCGAAGGCAGGUCUCUGGGCAGCUACUGACGCUGGGAGCGAAGACAUGGGGGAGCGAACAGGG
rnacentral:rRNA from 1 species